rnacentral:misc_RNA from 1 species
GUACUCGCUUCGGCAGUACAUAUACUAAAAUUGGAACGAUACAGAGAAGAUUAGCAUGGCCCCUGCGCAACAGUGAGAGCGGUUAGGCAUUGUU